UCAUAGUGAUCCGGUGGUUCUGAAUGGAAGGGCCAUCGCUCAACGGAUAAAAGGUACUCCGGGGAUAACAGGCUGAUACCGCCCAAGAGUUCAUAUCGACGGCGGUGUUUGGCACCUCGAUGUCGGCUCAUCACAUCCUGGGGCUGAAGUAGGUCCCAAGGGUAUGGCUGUUCGCCAUUUAAAGUGGUACGCGAGCUGGGUUUAGAACGUCGUGAGACAGUUCGGUCCCUAUCUGCCGUGGGCGCUGGAGAACUGAGGGGGGCUGCUCCUAGUACGAGAGGACCGGAGUGGACGCAUCACUGGUGUUCGGGUUGUCAUGCCAAUGGCACUGCCCGGUAGCUAAAUGCGGAAGAGAUAAGUGCUGAAAGCAUCUAA
rnacentral:rRNA from 1 species